GGGGAUUUAGCUCAGUGGCAUAAGCACCUGCCUUGCAAGCAGGAAGCCGUGAGUUCGAUCCCUG
rnacentral:tRNA from 1 species